CGGCUAAUAUUUUCUGAAAUCCAAAAUACAAUAAAACCAAAGAUAAAAAGGCUAUGUUAUCUCCUGAAAUGACUUGUCUGUAGCAAUACUUCAGUAAAAAUGUUUUAAAUAAACUUUUCCUAUUUUCACAGAAAGAGUAGGAGAGAAAAUGAGGAUACUGGAAAAGACACCAGUAGAGGCAAGAAGGCAUAGAAGGUUAUGAGUCUUUGGAGUGUCAGUCUUUGCACUGCUGCCUUCAGGAUCAUUUCUGGAGGACUUUCUCCGUGCUGUGCACCUAGGGUUGAGAGCAGGGGUGAAACAGGACCAACAACCCUGCUUUCUUGCUGGCUGUCACCUGAGGACCAUUCCCAGCUUUUAAAAUUAAUCUGCAAAAUUUAUAUAUAUAUAUCGGGUUUCUUGACUCAUGAUUCCAUUUCUUCAUCUUCAAAGCCAGAGAAUACGGGUGGAGUCCCUCUCAAGGUUGAAAAGUCCCACCAUCUGCCUUAUACAAGCUGGAGAACCAGGAAAACCGGGGAUGUAAAUCCAAAUUUCAGUUUAAAUUGAGGAGCAGAAGCGUCAACGGUGUAAGUUCCAGUUCAACGACAGAAGAAGACCUUUGUCUUAGCUCAAGAAGCCAGGUAAAGACAGAAAAUUCAACCUUCUUCCACCUUUUUGUUCUAUUCAAGUCCUCAAUGCAUUGGCUGAUGCUCACCCAGUGCAAUCUGCCUUACUCAUUCACAAGUUCAAGUGCUGCUCUCUUCCAUGAACACCCUCACAGACACAUCCAGAAAUAAUGUGGUAUAACCAGGUCUCUAGGAAUUCUAUGGCCCAGUAAAGGUGACAAAUAAAGUUCACCAUCAUAGCUAGGAACACCUAAAAGUAGAUGACUGUAGUAUGAUGUUCUUGCUCAGGCAUGAUGCAGAAUAAUGGUGAAAGAAAAUCUUCCAAUGGGAAGAACUCACAAGAGUACAUCUAGUUGUUUAGUUUGCUUGGAAAAGAGGUGGAUAAAUGUCAGAUUAAUGCUGAUUUAUGAGCAAUGACUAAUUAUUUGGCUGGAUGGUGAAGGACUUAGAAGGAAAAAUAUUGGAAAAUUGGUUACCAAGAGGCCUGGGAGGAUGUCAAAGACUUCACAAAAUGGACACAAAAGCAAAAGGGUAUUUUCAUCUUUUGUAAAUGUCCGCCAAAUGGCAACUACUACAGAUCAGGCUCUUGCUAAUCAUACGGAAACGAUGGCCCUUUAUACAGAAGGUCAGCAGACCUUCCUGCCCAGCCAUGCUAAUCAUUGCUGAAAGGGCUGAUGAACCAAGUGACUGCAGAAGUAGCUAUGGAAGCAGGCUUGAACUCAACAGUGUGGAUUAUGUGCUAUAGCUAUUGGUGAAUUCCCAACACGUCAACAACAUAAAGUGACACUGAGCCACCAAUAUGAUAAUGUUUCCCAAGUGAACAAGCCAGCACCUGGUGACAAUUUGAUUGUAUUGGACCACCCAUCACAGAAGAGGAAACAAUUUACUCUUCUUGGGAUAAAGGAUUAUUCUGGAAAUGGAUUUGUCUUCAUUGCCAACAGUGAUCCUGCCAAAACACCAUUCAUGAUUUCGGAGAUUGCAUUACUCACUCUCAGAAAAUUUUCCACUGCAUUUCUUCUGAACAAGGGAAUUAUUUUAAAGCAAAUGAACUGUAACAAUAGGUCUUUGCCAAUGGAAUUCAUAGUUCCUACCACGUACCCCGGCCCUGCCUAAUUGAACAGUGGAAUGCACUACUGGCCUGGUAGAGUCGAGGAAGGGUUCAGAAGACACUUAGAACACCUUUCAGGUAUCAGGUUGUAUCCUAUAUGCAGAAGUUAAGUUCCAGACCUUAUAUACCAAAGACGCUUCUAUUUCUCCCAUAGCUACACUUCAUGGAUCCAAGAUCUAAGGAAUGGAAAUAGAAGCUUUUCUUUUAUUGCUAUACCUAAUGAACUACAACCGCGGCCUCGAAACAGUUUAGAAGUCUUACCUGACUAAGGAGAAAUGUUCUUACUAGGGAUAUGACAGGGACAAUGUCAGAGGGGAGAUAAGAACUAUAUUUCUCAGAAUAUGUUAUCCUUAAUGUUAGAGUUUGCCAACAAGAAGAAAUUGCAUGAGACUCUAAAGGCAGUGAAAAGCCAAAUCCACAGUUUUCUGGAGGUAAUUGUACCCAGAUAAGGAUAUUUACUGAUUACAAGUUCUUUCAUUACCCGUUUUACUCAUUUUUGUC
ensembl:lncRNA